GCUAUUACACCCACUUUCUCGAUCACGAAAACCGUUGACUCCUGAACUCGCGAAACCGUAGCAGCGAUUUGAAGUCGACCGUGAAACCCUAACGACGUUCAAAGGCGUCCCGACUCACGAUCUUGUGUGAAUUUCUCUUGAUGCUUUCUCGUGUAGCUGCAGAUUCAGCCGUAGUAAAUGUAAUUAUGAUGAUAUCUUUGUGAGAAAUACGAUAUAGAAACUCUUCUGCCUUCAAGUGACAAGUGGAAGAUUCAUUUAUGCAGGAAUGAAUAGGGGAGUUGGAUGCUAAUGGCCGAAUAUGGGGAGUACCAUAUCGGUGGGGAACUAUGGUUAUAGCACACAAGGAAAACAAAUUUAGAAAGCACAAUUUAAAGCCAAUUGAGGAUUGGAGUGAUUUAUGGAGAGAUGAGCUUGCUGGGAAGAUUGGAGGCUUCAUACAACACCAAAGACAUUGAAAAACAAGCUUCUGGAGGGAGGAAAGAAGUGCUACGUCAUUUUGGAUUGAACUUGGAUGAUAUAUUAUUUUAUGUUUAUCAAAAUUGCUAGUUGAAUUAGGUGUGACAUCUUAUAUCGAACAAACAUUUCAAUUUACUAUGAAGUUGUAAUAAGAGAAGUAACAAACUCUUUUACUGGGAGAUCAGGAUUAGCUUUACCCAGCUUUUUGAAAUUUCUGUCUGGUGACGAGAUACAACUAUGUUUCUGUAGUUUUGUUUGUCGGGUGAUGAGAGAACAACUAUGUUUGUG